AUUGAACGCUGGCGGCAGGCCUAACACAUGCAAGUCGAGCGGAGCGGCGGACGGGAGAGUAAUGCCUAGGAAUCUGCCUGGUAGUGGGGGAUAAAGUCCGGAAACGGGCGCUAAUACCGCAUACUAUCAGAUGAGCCUAGUUCGGAUUAGCUAGUGGGGGGGGUAAAGGCCUACAAAGGCGACGAUCCGUAACUGGUCUGAGAGGAUGAUCAGUCACACGGUAACUGAGACAAGGUCCAGACUCCUACGGGAGGCAGCAGUGGGGAAUAUUGGACAAUGGGCGAAAGCCUGAUCCAGCCAUGCCGCGUGUGUGAAGAAGGUCUUCGGAUUGUAAAGCACUUUAAGUUGGGAGGCGUUACCAACAGAAUAAGCACCGGCUAACUUCGUGCCAGCAGCCGCGGUAAUAC
rnacentral:rRNA from 1 species